rnacentral:snoRNA from 12 species
UCAACCACAAUGAUGAAGCAUUAGGAUGUAAAUUAUUUCACCCGAGAGCGCAAAAAACCGUGCGGAUAUUUCCUGCCUUCCUUCUGAUUUUGUGU